rnacentral:rRNA from 1 species
GAUGAACGCUGGCGGCGUGCCUAACACAUGCAAGUCGAACGAAGCACCUUGAUUUCUUCGGAUUGAAAGGUGACUGAGUGGCGGACGGGUGAGUAACGCGUGGGUAACCUGCCUCAUACAGGGGGAUAACAGUUAGAAAUAACUGCUAAUACCGCAUAAGACCACGAGCUCGCAUGAGCUUGUGGGAAAAACUCCGGUGGUAUGAGAUGGACCCGCGUCUGAUUAGCUAGUUGGUGGGGUAACGGCCUACCAAGGCGACGAUCAGUAGCCGACCUGAGAGGGUGAUCGGCCACAUUGGGACUGAGACACGGCCCAA